rnacentral:rRNA from 1 species
AUUGAACGCUGGCGGCAGGCUUAACACAUGCAAGUCGAGCGAGCGGCGGACGGGUGAGUAAUGUCUGGGACACUGCCUGAGGGGGGGGGAUCACUACUGGAAACGGUCGAUAAUCCCGCAUACCCACAUAUGUGCCCAGAUGGGAGUAGCUCGUAUGUGGGGUAAUGGCUCACCUAGGCGACGAUCCCUAGCUGGUCUUAGAGGAUGACCAGCCACACUGGAACUGAGACACGGUCCAGACUCCUACGGGAGGCAGCAGUGGGGAAUAUUGCACAAUGGGCGCAAGCCUGAUGCAGCCAUGCCGCGUGUGUGAAGAAGGCCUUCGGGUUGUAAAGCACUUUCAGCGAGGAGGCGUUACUCGCAGAAGAAGCACCGGCUAACUCCGUGCCAGCAGCCGCGGUAAUUC